AAUGUUCUCUCUCGCCAUCGCCAUAUUGAUAUAAAAGUUUGUCUUGUGAAAUACACGAUGUGCAGUAUUCCUGUAUGAUGUAGUUAUCCAAUCCUUCUUGUUGUGUCAAAUAUAAAUUUUAAUUUUUAGUUAUUAAAUUCUACGUGAAAAGAUCAUAUUAAUACAUAUAAUUAUAUAUUGAAAGCUAGCUUUUGAAUUAAAACCAUGUGAAUUGAAUCUUCGGAUAUAUAAUAGUAACGUCAAUAAAUUUUGGUUUAGGUUUUCAAAUACACAUUUGCAUUGAAACUUGAAGCAGUUUUAUUUUAAGGACGCUACUGAUUUUCACAUACGUAUUUGCAUAGAAUCUUGAAGUUUAUUUUUAAGAAGGCUUCUAACAAGUUUAAAGUUAUCAAGAAUUUUGUUUCAUAUAAUUCUGCUAUUAGAGAAACAUAAUAAGUUUUAAAUUCUGGAAAGAUAUUUGCAUUUUUGAGCAUACGGCAUUUUCCGGGACCGCUAAACUUUUUAUAAGAUUAAAACGAUUUAAAUUGUAUCUUCAGCUAUAAUGCAUUAAUUUUGGUUUGAAUGUCCACACACAUCAAUGCAUUAAUGGUUGAAAUAAUAAUUCUAUUUUAAAAAGGGCUUUUGGUUUUCACACCCACAUUUGCGUUGAGACUACUGCGAGAGAGAAGUAGGUUUAUUUUUAAGAAGGCUUCUGAUUAAAACAAUUUAAAUUGAAUAUUCGGGUAUAAUGCAUUAAUUUUUGUUUGGAUGUCCACACACAUCAAUGCAUUAAUGGUCGAAAUAAUUCUAUUUUAAGAAGAGCUUCUGUUUUAAUUGCUACUUUAAAAGAUCAUAUUCACAUUAUAAUUACAUGUUGCGAUCUGAUAUUUGGAUUAAAGGUUUUCACAUACACUUUGCAUUGAAACUUAAAGUAGUUUUAUUUUAAGAAAGUUACUGGUAAGUCUACAUUUAUCAAGGAUCUUAUUUCAAAUAAUUCUGCUAUUAGAAUGAGUAUUAUGUAUUUAGAUUUAAAAAAUUAUUUGCAUUAUUGAACGUACGGCAUGUUCCGGGACCGAUUAAAUUUUUUAAAUAUAAUGUUUCUUUGGAUUAUUUCAAUUAAAAUUUUAACUUUCAAGUAUUAAAUUCUACUUCAAAAGACCAUAUUUACAUGUAAUUAUGUGUUGACAGUUGAUUUUUGUAUUAAUACCAUGCAAAUUAAAUUUUCGGAUGGAAUAAUAUCGACAGUAAAUUUUGGUUUAGAUUUUCACAUACACAUUUACAUUGAAACUUGAAGUAGUUUUAUUUUAAGAAGAUUUCUGAUAAGUCUACAGUUAUCGAGAAGUUUUUUAUAAUUCUGCUAUUAGAGCAACAUAAUAAGUUCUAAAUUAUUCAGACAUUUGCAUUUUUGAACAUACACAGCAUGUUCCGGGAUUAGUAAAGCUUUUUUUAAAUAUUGUCUCUUUUUAUUCUUUUAUAAGUCUUAAUUCGAAAUUAUAAUAAAUACUACUUCGAAAGAUCAUAUUUACAUUUUGAUUAACUACUGAAAGC